GACAGACGUCUGGUCUCUCUCUCUCUGGGCCGCUGAUGGACAUGUGUGGCUCUUCUGAUGCUCCUCAUUGGUCAGAUUUGUGCAGAGACGAGCAGCAGCUCAAACGUCUGUCGGGAUCAGAACGCUCUUCAUGAGCAGAUGGACGCAGUAGAGAAGGUUUGAAAUGUUCUGUCCUCAAAGUUCUAGGUGUAUAUCUUACUGUGUGACUUGAGCGGGUGGAGGACUCUCUUCAGGAGCUGGAGGCGGAGCUGGCUCUUCUGCUGGAUGCUGUGGAGGCCCCUGAGUGGAGCCCCCUGCUGGACAAGCCACUCAUCGACAUACUGGACCAAUCUCACAGACUCUCAAACCAUAACAUCAGGAUUUUUACAUGAUAAACAGGGAAUCUGUCCACAGAAACAUUGUGUGUUAAUAUGUUUAGUCAGGUUCAAAAGAUGCAAUCACAAUGUUUACUAACCUUUUUUUAUUUUUCAGAAAAAUAGGAGUUAAUAUAACUAACAUUCGUUAAACCUACUCUAACUAAUGUAUACUUCUGUGUUCAGUCAGCACUUGUAGUAUAGCUACACUUGAGUGUACUUGAGUAUGACAGAUGGGUUCAAGUGUACUACAAGUGCUGACUGAAUACAUUUUAAAUAAAGAGAUACAGAAAAGAUUUAAUUCAUAUUCAUGGUGUCCCAAAAUAGUCCAGUUGAGUACACUCAGAUUAUUUUAUCUUAAGAAGUACUAAAGAAUAAUAUUUACUAUAUUAAGCACAAAAUUAGUGUGCAAAAAUAGAGCACUCGAACACUCUAAGAGUAUUCUACUCUUUUGUUUUCAUUUUCUUCAAAUAUUUUAUAUUUUUCCUCUUUUAAUUUCAGGGUGAAAUAUGAUCCCAGAGUUUCUUCAGGAGAUCGUACACUACAAUAAAUGGACGGAGCAGCUCAUAAAGUUCUGGUACUAAUAAGACGAUAAGCUCUUCUUAUUAAAGUUAAAUGAAUCUUAUUACUUUACUGCGUGUCAGUAUUUUCUUCUGGUGUUUGUUCGUAACUAUUCUAAAUGUUCUGAGGAGAUGAUCAAUCACUGCAUGCAUGUGCAUAUCCAAACAUAACAUGUCUACAGUCUCUCUCUUUUCUUCACUGAAUCCAGGAAACCUGUGGUUUGUUCAGACUCCCAGCAUGCAUUGCUCUUUUGCUAUUGCUUCUGUUGUUCAGAGUUUGUAAUUUGGUUUGAAUGCACUGCAUCUC